GAGAGUGGCGAACGGGUGAGUAAUGCGUGACCGACCUGCCCCAUACACCGGAAUAGCUCCUGGAGACGGGUGGUAAUGCCGGAUGCUCCAGUUGAUCGCAUGGUCUUCUGGGAAAGCUUUCGCGGUAUGGGAUGGGGUCGCGUCCUAUCAGCUUGACGGCGGGGUAACGGCCCACCGUGGCUUCGACGGGUAGCCGGCCUGAGAGGGCGACCGGCCACAUUGGGACUGAGACACGGCCCAAACUCCUACGGGAGGCAGCAUG
rnacentral:rRNA from 1 species